rnacentral:rRNA from 1 species
GGCUCAGAACGAACGCUGGCGGCGCGCCUAAUACAUGCAAGUCGAACGAGAAUGUGUAGCAAUACACAUGUACAGUGGCGAACGGGUGAGGAAUACAUGGGUAACCUACCCUCGAGUGGGGAAUAACUAGCCGAAAGGUUAGCUAAUACCGCGUACGCCUCCUGGACUGCGGUUCGGGAGGGAAAGCGAUACCGUGGGUAUUGCGCUCUUGGAUGGGCUCAUGUCCUAUCAGCUUGUUGGUGAGGUAACGGCUCACCAAGGCUUCGACGGGUAGCUGAUCUGAGAGGAUGAUCAGCCACACUGGCACUGCGACACGGGCCAGACUCCUACGGGAGGCAGCAGUAAGGAAUAUUGCGCAAUGGGCGAAAGCCUGACGCAGCGACGCCGCGUGGGGGAUGAAGGUCUUCGGAUUGUAAACCCCUUUCGGGAGGGAAGAUGGGAUGGGGUAACCCAUUCGGACGGUACCUCCAGAAGCAGCCACGGCUAACUUCGUGCCAGCAGCCGCGGUAAUACGAAGGUGGCAAGCGUUGUUCGGAUUUACUGGGCGUACAGGGAGCGUAGGCGGUUGGGUAAGCCCUCCGUGAAAUCUCCAGGCUUAACCUGGAAAGUGCAGAGGGGACUGCUCAGCUAGAGGAUGGGAGAGGAGCGCGGAAUUCCCGGUGUAGCGGUGAAAUGCGUAGAGAUCGGGAGGAAGGCCGGUGGCGAAGGCGGCGCUCUGGAACAUUUCUGACGCUGAGGCUCGAAAGCGUGGGGAGCAAACAGGAUUAGAUACCCUGGUAGUCCACGCCUUAAACGAUGGAUACUAAGUGUCGGCGGGUUACCGCCGGUGCCGCAGCUAACGCAGUAAGUAUCCCGCCUGGGAAGU